rnacentral:tRNA from 1 species
UGGGGCGUAGCCAAGCGGUAAGGCAGCGGGCUUUGGACCCGCGAUCGUUGGUUCGAAUCCAGCCGCCCCAGCCA